rnacentral:rRNA from 1 species
GGCGGACGGGUGAGUAAUGCUUGGGAACAUGCCUUGAGGUGGGGGACAACAGUUGGAAACGACUGCUAAUACCGCAUAAUGUCUACGGACCAAAGGGGGCUUCGGCUCUCGCCUUUAGAUUGGCCCAAGUGGGAUUAGCUAGUUGGUGAGGUAAUGGCUCACCAAGGCGACGAUCCCUAGCUGAUUUGAGAGGAUGAUCAGCCACACUGGGACUGAGACACGGCCCAGACUCCUACGGGAGGCAGCAGUGGGGAAUAUUGCACAAUGGGCGCAAGCCUGAUGCAGCCAUGCCGCGUGUGUGAAGAAGGCCUUCGGGUUGUAAAGCACUUUCAGUCAGGAGGAAAGGUUAGUAGUUAAUACCUGCUAGCUGUGACGUUACUGACAGAAGAAGCACCGGCUAACUCCGUGCCAGCAGCCGCGGUAAUACGGAGGGUGCGAGCGUUAAUCGGAAUUACUGGGCGUAAAGCGUAC